UACCAGCACCCCGAGUGGUCGGGACGUUUAUUGGGCCUAAAGCAUCCGUAGCCGGUUCUACAAGUCUUCCGUUAAAUCCGACUGCUUAACAGGUGGGCUGCGGAAGAUACUAUAGAGCUAGGAGGCGGGAGAGGCAAGCGGUACUCGAUGGGUAGGGGUAAAAUCCGUUGAUCCAUUGAAGACCACCAGUGGCGAAGGCGGCUUGCCAGAACGCGCUCGACGGUGAGGGAUGAAAGCUGGGGGAGCAAACCGG
rnacentral:rRNA from 1 species